GACGAACGCUGGCGGCGUGCUUAACACAUGCAAGUCGAGCGGUAAGGCCCUUUCGGGGGUACACGAGCGGCGAACGGGUGAGUAACACGUGGGUGACCUGCCCUCAGCUCUGGGAUAAGCCUGGGAAACCGGGUCUAAUACCGGAUAUGACUCCAUGACGCAUGUUGUGGGGUGGAAAGCCUUGUGCGGCUGAGGAUGGGCCCGCGGCCUAUCAGCUUGUUGGUGGGGUGAUGGCCUACCAAGGCGACGACGGGUAGCCGGCCUGAGAGGGCGACCGGCCACACUGGGACUGAGACACGGCCCAGACUCCUACGGGAGGCAGCAGUGGGAAUCUUGCGCAAUGGGCGAAAGCCUGACGCAGCGACGCCGCGUGAGGGAUGACGGCCUGUGU
rnacentral:rRNA from 1 species